ACGUACGCUGGCGGCACGCCUAACACAUGCAAGUCGAACGAAGUAGCAAUACUUAGUGGCAGACGGGUGAGUAACAUGUAGGUAUCUGCCCUUUGGCCUGGAAUAACACGAGGAAACUUGUGCUAAUACCGGAUAAGUCUUUACGGAGAAAGCUUUAUGCACCAUUGGAUGAGCCUGCACUUGAUUAGUUUGUUGGUGGGGUAAUGGCCUACCAAGACUGUGAUCAAUAGCUGAUUUGAGAGGAUGAUCAGCCACAUUGGGACUGAGACACGGCCCAAACUCCUACGGGAGGCAGCAGUGGGGAAUCUUGCACAAUGGAGGAAACUCUGAUGCAGCGAUGCCGCGUGAGUGAAGAAGGCCCUUGGGUUGUAAAGCUCUUUCGUCGGGGAAGAAAAUGACUGUACCCGAAUAAGAAGGUCCGGCUAACUUCGUGCCAGCAGCCGCGGUAAUACGAAGGGACCUAGCGUAGUUCGGAAUUACUGGGCUUAAAGAGUUCGUAGGUGGUUGAAAAAGUUAGUGGUGAAAUCCCAGAGCUUAACUCUGGAACUGCCAUUAAAACUUUUCAGCUAGAGUAUGAUAGAGGAAAGCAGAAUUUCUAGUGUAGAGGUGAAAUUCGUAGAUAUUAGAAAGAAUACCAAUUGCGAAGGCAGCUUUCUGGAUCAUUACUGACACUGAGGAACGAAAGCAUGGGUAGCGAAGAGGAUUAGAUACCCUCGUAGUCCAUGCCGUAAACGAUGUGUGUUAGACGUUGGAAAUUUAUUUUCAGUGUCGCAGGGAAACCGAUAAACACACCGCCUGGGGAGUACGACCGCAAGGUUAAAACUCAAAUGAAUUGACGGGGACCCGCACAAGUAGUGGAGCAUGUGGUUUAAUUCGAAGAUACGCGCAGAACCUUACCAACACUUGACAUGUUCGUCGCGACUCUAAGAGAUUAGAGUUUUCGGUUCGGCCGGACGAAACACAGGUGCUGCAUGGCUGUCGUCAGCUCGUGUCGUGAGAUGUUGGGUUAAGUCCCGCAACGAGCGCAACCCUCACUUUUAGUUGCCAUCAUUAAGUUGGGCACUCUGAAAGAACUGCCAGUGAUAAGCUGGAGGAAGGUGGGGAUGACGUCAAGUCCUCAUGGCCCUUACGUGUUGGGCUACACACGUGCUACAAUGGUAUCUACAACAGGAAGCAAGACGGCGACGUCAAGCAAAUCCCUAAAAGAUACCUCAGUUCGGAUUGCACUCUGCAACUCGAGUGCAUGAAGCUGGAAUUACUAGUAAUCGUGGAUCAGCGUGCCACGGUGAAUGCGUUCCCGGGUCUUGUACACACCGC
rnacentral:rRNA from 1 species